CGGGAGGCAGCAGUUAGGAAUCUUCGGCAAUGGGGGAAACCCUGACCGAGCGACACUGCUUGGAGGAUGAAGGUUUUCGGAUCGUAAACUCCUGAACGAGGGACGAAUAAUGACGGUACCUCGCUAAUAGCACCGGCUAACUCCGUGCCAGCAGCCGCGGUAAUACGGAGGGUGCAAGCGUUAUCCGGAAUCACUGGGCGUAAAGGGCGCGUAGGCGGUUUGUUAAGUCCGAUGUUAAAGACCGAGGCUCAACCUCGACACGGCGUUGGAUACUGGCAAGCUGGACGGUUGGGGAGGAAGGUAGAAUUACCAGUGUAGCGGUGGAAUGCGUAGAUACUGGUAGGAAUACCCAUUGCGAAGGCAGCCUUCUGGACAACACGUGACGCUGAGGCGCGAAAGUGUGGGGAGCAAACCGGAUUAGAUACCCGGGUAGUCCACGCCCUAAAC
rnacentral:rRNA from 1 species